UGCUUGAUCAAAUGGAGUGUAUUGAAUGAGAUAUAUUUUAUUGAAGUGUCUCAUGCUGUCUAUAUUAAAUUAACUAUAUUAAUUUCUCCAAUAUUUGUCUAAUUAUUUUUAAAACUAAUCACACUUUGUGCUGUUAUACAUCCUCUGGCAGGCUGUUCCAUGUAUCCACCACUCUCAUUGUAAACAAGAAUUUCCUCAGAUCCAUGAUCUUGUUUUAAAUAAUUUCUAGUUGUGAUCACCUCUGUUGUCUUCUGAUAACUGGGAGAUCAGGAGUCCGCUCGACUAGCACAGGUGGCAGCUGUUAUCAACUAAGUCUUCCACGUUCAUAUGAAC